rnacentral:tRNA from 1 species
GCCUUCAUGGGGUAACUGGAAAACAUUUCUGACUAACAAUCAUGAGGGCCGGAGUUCGAAUCUCUGCGAAAGCA